AAUGAACACUGUCCAGCAUUGUACUCAACACCGGCUGCCGCUGGUGGUGGGAUUGUGGCAUUCAGUCUAUUUACAGGCAUGACCGUCCAAAAGUUAAGAGAGAGAUGAAGAUUUUCUUCAGAGACUAUAAAAACCUUUCAAAACAACAUAUCUGUCAAUUAACUGGAUUACUUACAAAAGGAAAAAGUCAACAGAUGUGA
rnacentral:lncRNA from 1 species